rnacentral:rRNA from 1 species
GAAUCUGGGAGGACCAUCUCCUAAGGCUAAAUACUCUCUAGUGACCGAUAGUGAACCAGUACCGUGAGGGAAAGGUGAAAAGCACCCCGGAAGGGGAGUGAAAUAGAACCUGAAACCGUGUGCUUACAAGUAGUCAGAGCCCGUUAAUGGGUGAUGGCGUGCCUUUUGUAGAAUGAACCGGCGAGUUACGAUUUGAUGCAAGGUUAAGCAGUAAAUGUGGAGCCGUAGCGAAAGCGAGUCUGAAUAGGGCGUUUAGUAUUUGGUCGUAGACCCGAAACCAGGUGAUCUACCCUUGGUCAGGUUGAAGUUCAGGUAACACUGAAUGGAGGACCGAACCGACUUACGUUGAAAAGUGAGCGGAUGAACUGAGGGUAGCGGAGAAAUUCCAAUCGAACCUGGAGAUAGCUGGUUCUCUCCGAAAUAGCUUUAGGGCUAGCCUCAAGUGAUGAUUAUUGGAGGUAGAGCACUGUUUGGACGAGGGGCCCCUCUCGGGUUACCGAAUUCAGACAAACUCCGAAUGCCAAUUAAUUUAACUUGGGAGUCAGAACAUGGGUGAUAAGGUCCGUGUUCGAAAGGGAAACAGCCCAGACCACCAGCUAAGGUCCCAAAAUAUAUGUUAAGUGGAAAAGGAUGUGGCGUUGCCCAGACAACUAGGAUGUUGGCUUAGAAGCAGCCAUCAUUUAAAGAGUGCGUAAUAGCUCACUAGUCGAGUGACACUGCGCCGAAAAUGUACCGGGGCUAAACAUAUUACCGAAGCUGUGGAUUGUCCUUUGGACAAUGGUAGGAGAGCGUUCUAAGGGCGUUGAAGCAUGAUCGUAAGGACAUGUGGAGCGCUUAGAAGUGAGAAUGCCGGUGUGAGUAGCGAAAGACGGGUGAGAAUCCCGUCCACCGAUUGACUAAGGUUUCCAGAGGAAGGCUCGUCCGCUCUGGGUUAGUCGGGUCCUAAGCUGAGGCCGACAGGCGUAGGCGAUGGAUAACAGGUUGAUAUUCCUGUACCACCUAUAAUCGUUUUAAUCGAUGGGGGGACGCAGUAGGAUAGGCGAAGCGUGCGAUUGGAUUGCACGUCUAAGCAGUAAGGCUGAGUAUUAGGCAAAUCCGGUACUCGUUAAGGCUGAGCUGUGAUGGGGAGAAGACAUUGUGUCUUCGAGUCGUUGAUUUCACACUGCCGAGAAAAGCCUCUAGAUAGAAAAUAGGUGCCCGUACCGCAAACCGACACAGGUAGUCAAGAUGAGAAUUCUAAGGUGAGCGAGCGAACUCUCGUUAAGGAACUCGGCAAAAUGACCCCGUAACUUCGGGAGAAGGGGUGCUCUUUAGGGUUAACGCCCAGAAGAGCCGCAGUGAAUAGGCCCAAGCGACUGUUUAUCAAAAACACAGGUCUCUGCUAAACCGUAAGGUGAUGUAUAGGGGCUGACGCCUGCCCGGUGCUGGAAGGUUAAGAGGAGUGGUUAGCUUCUGCGAAGCUACGAAUCGAAGCCCCAGUAAACGGCGGCCGUAACUAUAACGGUCCUAAGGUAGCGAAAUUCCUUGUCGGGUAAGUUCCGACCCGCACGAAAGGCGUAACGAUUUGGGCACUGUCUCAACGAGAGACUCGGUGAAAUCAUAGUACCUGUGAAGAUGCAGGUUACCCGCGACAGGACGGAAAGACCCCGUGGAGCUUUACUGUAGCCUGAUAUUGAAAUUCGGCACAGCUUGUACAGGAUAGGUAGGAGCCUUUGAAACGUGAGCGCUAGCUUACGUGGAGGCGCUGGUGGGAUACUACCCUAGCUGUGUUGGCUUUCUAACCCGCACCACUUAUCGUGGUGGGAGACAGUGUCAGGCGGGCAGUUUGACUGGGGCGGUCGCCUCCUAAAAGGUAACGGAGGCGCUCAAAGGUUCCCUCAGAAUGGUUGGAAAUCAUUCAUAGAGUGUAAAGGCAUAAGGGAGCUUGACUGCGAGACCUACAAGUCGAGCAGGGUCGAAAGACGGACUUAGUGAUCCGGUGGUUCCGCAUGGAAGGGCCAUCGCUCAACGGAUAAAAGCUACCCCGGGGAUAACAGGCUUAUCUCCCCCAAGAGUUCACAUCGACGGGGAGGUUUGGCACCUCGAUGUCGGCUCAUCGCAUCCUGGGGCUGUAGUCGGUCCCAAGGGUUGGGCUGUUCGCCCAUUAAAGCGGUACGCGAGCUGGGUUCAGAACGUCGUGAGACAGUUCGGUCCCUAUCCGUCGUGGGCGUAGGAAAUUUGAGAGGAGCUGUCCUUAGUACGAGAGGACCGGGAUGGACAUACCUCUGGUGUACCAGUUGUCGUGCCAACGGCAUAGCUGGGUAGCUAUGUGUGGACGGGAUAAGUGCUGAAAGCAUCUAAGCAUGAAGCCCCCCUCAAGAUGAGAUUUCCCAACUUCGGUUAU